rfam:Beta vulgaris subsp. vulgaris chromosome 1, whole genome shotgun sequence.
AAUCGCAGUGAUGACUAUUAAAUUAUCAAGCUCAACAGACCGGAAAACAGGAAUUUCCUGUGUGUGUCGAUAUUUCUUUGCUGAGCGAUU